GCCUGGGCCGGCACGGCCCGCUCUAGACCCGCGGGCCCGGGCCCGGCCCAGCCCGAUAAAAAUUAAUGCUUCAUAAAUUUUUUUAAUAAAUUAAUAAAUAUUGAAAACUAAGGAUUUAUGAAUAUAAAGCCACCUUAAUGGUGGGGGGUUUGGCAUAGACCCCUACCAGUUUAUUAAUUUAAAUCAAAAUGGUACAUGAAGGGAGGUUUGGACCUUGGUCUGACCUCCAGAAUACAAUAAGAAAGGGGCCAAAGGGCCGAGGUUUGGACCUUGGUCUGACCUCCAGAAUAUAAUAAAAAUGUACAAUUAUAAAAAAUUAAGAAAUUUUACUAAUCAUCAGUGAUUUAGUGAAUCAGUAUUCACUCUUCAGUCUUCAGUAGUGUUUGUAUCAUCAUCAUCAGAGGAUGUUGUAUUAUGUCCACCUUUAUCUUGAAGUCUUGCCUCAGCAUCCAACCAAUCUUUGAAGCAGAGAAGCAUCUCCACCGUUUCGCCCGUCAUCCUACUUCUCUUUUCGUCAAGAACACGCCGACCUGCACUAAAAGUGGA
rnacentral:lncRNA from 1 species